GAGACCAAUUUUACAAACGUUUCUGGCUAAAAUUUUCGACUUUUCAUUAGGAGAAUAUGAUAUGCAAAGAGGUGGCACUCGAAAUUUUUAACAGAGACCAAUUUUGCAAAGUUUCUGGCCCAAAUUUUCGACUUUUCAUUAGGAGAAUAUGAUAUGCAAAGAGGUGGCACU